rnacentral:rRNA from 1 species
AAUCAACGCUGGCGGCGUGCCUAACACAUGCAAGUCGAACGCGAAAGCCCCGUAAGGGGCAAGUAGAGUGGCAAACGGGUGAGUAACACGUGGGUGACCUGCCUUCGAGCGGGGGAUAACGUCCCGAAAGGGACGCUAAUACCGCAUGACAUCCUGCCUUUGAAGAGGCGGAGAUCAAAGCCGGGGAUCGCAAGACCUGGCACUCGAAGAGGGGCCCGCGCCUGAUUAGCUAGUUGGGGGGUAAUGCUCACCAAGGCAACGAUCAGUAGCCGGCCUGAGAGGGCGGACGGCCACACUGGGACUGAGACACGGCCCAGACUCCUACGGGAGGCAGCAGUGGGGAAUUGUUCGCAAUGGGCGCAAGCCUGACGACGCAACGCCGCGUGGAGGACGAAGACC